rnacentral:rRNA from 1 species
AGAAAAUAGAUACCCCGGUAGUCCACGCCGUAAACGAUGAAUACUAGUUAUUGGGGGUAUUGACUCCCUCAGUGACGCAGCUAAACGCAUUAAGUAUUCCGCCUGGGGAGUACGGUCGCAAGACUAAAACUCAAACAAAUUGACGGGGGCCCGGCACAAGCGGUGGAUUAUGUGGUUUAAUUCGAAAGCAACGCGCAGAACCUUACCUAGGCUUGAACUCCUACGAACCUGAUGUAAUGGUCGGGGUGUCCGCAAGGAAAUGUAGUGAGAGGUGCUGCAUGGCUGUCGUCAGCUCGUGUUGUGAAAUGUUGGGUUAAGUCUCGCAACGAGCGCAACCCCUAUCGUCUGUUGCCAGCAUUAAGUUGGGCACUCUGACGAGACUGCCUGGGUUAACCAGGAGGAAGGUGGGGAUGACGUCAAGUCCUCAUGGCCCUUAUGUCUAGGGCUACACACGUAAUACAAUGGCGCGUACAGAGGGAAGCGAACUCGCAAGGGGAAGCAAAUCUCAAAAACGCGCGUCUCAGUCCGGAUUGAAGUCUGCAAC